UACGUAGGGGGCUAGCGUUGUCCGGAAUCAUUGGGCGUAAAGCGCGUGUAGGCGGCCCGGUAAGUCCGCUGUGAAAGUCGGGGGCUCAACCCUCGGAACUGCCUUCGAUACUGCGGGUCUCGAGUCCGGGAGAGGUGAGUGGAAUUCCUAGUGUAGAGGUGAAAUUCGUAGAUAUUAGGAAGAACACCAGUGGCGAAGGCGGCUCACUGGCCCGGUACGUGACGCUGAGGCGCGAAAGCGUGGGGAGCAAACAGGAUU
rnacentral:rRNA from 1 species